CUGUUUUAAUUUUUUUAGUACACCUCUGCUGAAAGGAAGCAUCCUUAUUUGUAACACACCACCCUGCAACCCUGGCCGGGCUCCUCCUUCCUGUCUCUCUGUCCCACAUCCCCCACAGCUGUCACGUCAGUUCUGUGUUUGUGUUGCAGUCUGGGCCCAGGAUGUCUUCGCUAAUCUUAAAAAAGGAUAAUCUUUUGAGUUGAAAAAAAUUUAGUUUUUUUUUUUUAAAGAAGCUCAAUAAAUUCUCCUUGUUUUUCCACCUUUACUGAAAACCAAUAAAAAUUUUAUCAAAGACCAGCUUCUAGGAACCUAAAUUGGUGAAUUUAGGAAUUAGCCAAUUGCUCUUUCCUUGGCAUGGAGUUGGUUUGGGCAUUUCCCCAUAUUUUAUCUUAUUUUGUUAUUUGUUUUAUGAUUAUAUAUAUUUUCUUCCUUUCAAAACGACAUUUGUGAGCAGCAUCUGUGUCAUCUUUUUUUAAUGCUGGGCACACAUGUGUACGCAGCCUGAGUGUUUGGAGUUGAGUGUUUUGUAUGUUGGAUUGAGAGCACACAGAAGGGCUACGGCUGGGGAGCCAUGAUCAGCAGUGGAGGGGCUUGCUGUGCUUCAAGAAAAGCCUCAGUGGUGGAAGACAUGGGAUAUGUUUUUGAUGAGGAUUUCAGGAGUUGAAACAUAAGUGAAAUAGUAUCCUACAAAAGGCUUUGAACUAUUGAUAAAUUAAUUCAAGAUCUUACCAGUUUAUAAGGCAGUCAUAUAAAGACAUACAAAUUUUGGUAUUUUUAUAAGACAAUAAUUUUAUUUCAGUUUGAGUCUUCAUGGAAAACCUGACACAUGGGGGGAAAUGUCUUCUGAUAACUUUAAUUUUUGUUAGUUUGAAGGCAUGCAUAAGAAUGAAGCCAUAAGCCAACAGCUUCAUGUUUUACGGAAGGAAGUGAAGCAGUUGCAAGCUGAAGCUGCUAAACCACCAUCACUUAAUAUUGUGGAAGCUGCUGUACAUGCAGAAAACUUGAUCACGUAAGUUUCGCAGGCAUUAUAAUUUGAAAUACUGUUUUGUUAUCAUGAAUAGUAAUCAUACAUGCUACUAUACCACCACCACCCCUGCAGCACCCACAGGUUAAUUUAGUACAGACAUCAGCAAACUACGGCCUUUGAGUCAAAUCUGGCCUGCUACUUAUUUUUAUAAAUAAAGUUUUACUGGAACACAGCCAUCACCAUUUAUUUAUAAUUUCUAUGGCUUUUAUGCUGCAACAGAAGGAUUGAGUGGUUGUAACAGAGAUAUAAAGCAGAAAAU
rnacentral:lncRNA from 1 species